rnacentral:rRNA from 1 species
UACGUAGGGGGCAAGCGUUAUCCGGAUUUACUGGGUGUAAAGGGAGCGUAGACGGCCAGACAAGUCUGAAGUGAAAAUCCAGCGCUUAACGCUGGAAGUGCUUUGGAAACUGCCGGGCUGGAGUGCAGGAGGGGCAGGCGGAAUUCCUAGUGUAGCGGUGAAAUGCGUAGACAUUAGGAGGAACACCAGUGGCGAAGGCGGCCUGCUGGACUGCAACUGACGUUGAGGCUCGAAGGCGUGGGGAGCACACAGG